GACGAACGCUGGCGGCGUGCUUAACACAUGCAAGUCGAACGAAGUGGCGAACGGGUGAGUAACGUGUAUUCAACCUGCCCUUCAGAGGGGGAAAACAGUUGGAAACGACUGCUAAUCCCACAUACUGCAGUAGGGGAUUUCGUCUGAUUAGCUAGUUGGGGGGGUAACGGCCCACCAAGGCGAAGAUCAGUAGCCGGGCUGAGAGGAUGAACGGCCACAUUGGGACUGGUACACGGCCCAGACUCCUACGGGAGGCAGCAGUGGGGAAUCUUCCGCAAUGGACGGAAGUCUGACGGAGCAACGCCGCGUGAGUGAUGACGGCCUUCGGGUUGUAAAGCUCUGUUAAUCGGGACGCGGUACCGGAAUAGAAAGCCACGGCUAACUACGUGCCAGCAGCCGCGGUAAUAC
rnacentral:rRNA from 1 species